AUUUAUAUAAUAUAAUAAUUAUAAUUGAUUUCCAAUCAAAAAAUCUAGAUAUCUAGUAUAAAUA
rnacentral:tRNA from 1 species